AUCAGUCUGAAAAGUCCCAUAUAGGACGAAAUGCGCGUCCUGGAU
rfam:Schistosoma mansoni strain Puerto Rico chromosome 1, complete genome